rnacentral:lncRNA from 1 species
CCGUCUUCAAAAGACCACUUACCAACAUGGUCAAAUACAACAUUCUUGCAGAAGUGCGUCUCUGGUUGCAAUAGUGUGAGGUGCACAUAGUUGGACGUGCAGCUACGCCUGAUACUACCUAUAGUGAAGGGAGGUUGAUAGUUGCAACGACAAUGACUUAUCGUCAUCUAGCGCUCAUGUAUAUCAUCAGACAUUUCAUUAGAUGAAAGCUUGGUGGUUGUUGAAUUGGAAUAUUCCACAAGCACACAGAACUAUCGUAGUAGCACUUCACUCGGUGAGUAUCGAGUGUCAAAUUCAUAUUUUUUCCAUAAGAAGGCUGGAGGAAAGAAUCUAUAUAGCACAAAAUCUAUGCAUGAGGUUCCUUAGGUUUAUAUCCUAGAUGGGUGAACGUUAGUGUAGGAAGGGGUUGAUCUACCUAGACGAACUACUACUAAAGGUAAAGCUACUCUAAGAGAUAGCUAACGGGGAGAGUGAGGAGUCUUUAUCUUUUCUAAUAGCUAAGCUACACAAGUAGCGAGGAGAGGUAUGAUAGCACUUCGAGGCAUAGCUCACCUACCAACUAGGAGAGAGUUAAAUAGACAAGGUCUGCCAAGAGCCUUAUGAUUUAAGAACUAAGCCUAAACAUUGUGGGGAUAU